GACGAACGCUGGUGGCGUGCUUAAAACAUGCAAGUCGAACGGAAAGGCCCUGCUUUUGUGGGGUGCUCGAGUGGCGAACGGGGGAGUAACACGUGGGUAAACUGCCCUUGACUUUGGGAUAACUUCAGGAAAAUGGGGCUAAUAACGGAUAGGAGCUCCUGCUGCAUGGUGGGGAUUGGAAAGUUUCGGCGGUUGGGGAUGGACUGGCGGCUUAUCAGCUAGUUGGUGAGGUAGUGGCUUACCAAGGCUUCGAUGGGAAGCCGACCUGAGAGGGUGAUCGGCCACACUGGAAGUGAGACACGGUCCAGACUACUAAGGGACGGAGCAGUCGGCAACCGUACGCAAUGGGGGAAAGCAUGACGGAGUAGCGCCGAGUGAGUGAUGACGGUCUUCCGUUCGUAAAACUCUGUUAUUAGGGAAGAACAAAUGUGUCCGUAAAUAUGCCCGUCUUGACGGUAACUAAUCAGAAAGCACCGGCUAACUACGUG
rnacentral:rRNA from 1 species